rnacentral:rRNA from 1 species
CAGUAGCCGCGGUAAUACGUAGGGUGCGAGCGUUAAUCGGAAUUACUGGGCGUAAAGCGUGCGCAGGCGGUUCGUUAAGUCUGUUGUGAAAGCCCCGGGCUCAACCUGGGAAUGGCAAUGGAUACUGGCGAGCUAGAGUGUGUCAGAGGAUGGUGGAAUUCCCGGUGUAGCGGUGGAAUGCGUAGAGAUCGGGAGGAACAUCAGUGGCGAAGGCGGCCAUCUGGGACAACACUGACGCUGAGGCACGAAAGCGUGGGGAGCAAACAGGAUUAGAUACCCGCGUAGUCCCUGUCUCUUAUAC